AGGUGUAACAUGGAUUACAACCAUACUGUGGUGGACAUCUGAGUCAGACAGCUCUUGGGUGAAGUUUUUGUGAAGUGAAUGGAUGAGGCUGAGAAGGAAAGAGGAAGGAUUCUGUGGAAUCAAGAAGUGAUCUGACUGCUCAAAAGGUGAUAAAGAAGAGAAAUAAGCAUGCGUAAGCCAGGAUCUUUUAAUGAAUUGGAAGUACUUAACCAAAUCAUCAGGACUAGGAGCCUACCUACUCUGUACCCUGGAGAAGAACUUCCAAAGGAUGCUUCAUUCUACUGCAGAUCUGAGGAUCACUCUGCACCCUGAAAUGCAAAAUUCGUGGUGGGGGCAAAGAAAAGGAAACCUGACUAUGAAGGCCAGUGCAUUAUACACACAGAAGCCAUUUGCAGAAUUUGGCUAUUUUAAUUCCUAUCUAAAUAAUAAAGGAUGGCAACUAGAAGACAGAUCCUCCACAUCCUUCACACAUACACUGAUCAUCAAGGCAAAGCAUAGACUGAACUCAGAAAAGUUGGGUUUAUGUUUGUACCAGUGUUUACAAGACCUUCUUUGACAGCUCUUCCUGGAUCAGCAUCUUUCUCCAGGACUUUGGCACAACUUGGGCAGCGCGAAACCAUUCUGCUUCAGUCCAGACCGUGCUGGUAAGAUCCAUGGGCCAAGUCAGCGUGCCCCUGUGUACAUGA
rnacentral:lncRNA from 1 species